AUGCAGCUUCCGAGGAUCUAUACCACAAGGCUUAGUCUUGGAACUAGGAGAAACUGUCCAGAUCUUGGAAAAAUGUGAAGGCUGGUACAGAGGAGUUUCCAUUAAGAAGCCCAAUGUAAAGGGGAUCUUUCCUGCUAACUAUAUUCACUUGAAAAAGGCAAUCGUCAGUAACAGAGG